GGCUGGAGGACAAAGCUUUAGCCCAGAUGGAUUAUUGAUAUGUAUGGGACAACUGGGCUGAUGCGCGUGCAAAAGGACAUCCUCUUUCCUCCUCCUUUUCUUAUUUAUCUCAAGGGUCUCCAGCCCCGCUCUGUGCUAUGCCUGCUUCUGCCCCUCCUCUGGCUUACCCUCGGCUUUCUGACCUACGCCCAGGACCAGUUGCAAGCCUUAAGACAGGACUUCCAGGCAGAAAAGGAAGCACUGGCUAAGCAAGUACCAGUCCUUCAGAGACUUGUCAAAAUGUAAUCAUUUGUGCUCAGCAUACGCCGUAACAGCAGUGUGUCUGCCAUAAGAGGAAAUUAAAUAGUUAAACCGCCAAUUGGCCAUGCAUUCUGUCCGGGUGACAAGCCUCAUGGGGGAGGACUCGGGUAGCCCUUGUAAAAGAAGUCCUGCUCCAAGGAUCCUGAGCAAGCCUGCCAUUUGUUAAAACCAGGUGACUGGGUCUACAUAAAGGUCCAUCAACGAAAGACUACUCUGGCCCCAUGCUGGAAAGGCCCUUAUUAAGUCCUGCUAACUACCAACACCGCUGUGAAGUGCCAAGGACUGACUGCCUGGACCCAUGCUUCUUAUUGUUAAAAGACCCCUCCACCUCAAGAUGACUUCACUUCGACUACUGCUCAGCCUGUCCCUCCUUCUGGGUUUUUUCUUUCCUCCUUUUGGACAGCAGG